AUUUAUAUAAUAUAAAAAGUAUAUUAAAUUACCAAUUUAAAAGUUUAACUUAAUAUAAAUA
rnacentral:tRNA from 2 species